rnacentral:tRNA from 1 species
UCCGUCGACUUUAGAAAUCUUGAGGGUUCGAGUCCCUCUAUCCCC